UCCUCUUUUCUUGAUCUUUUUUAAAUUACCAUAACCUGAUUUGUAAAGUUGUUUUCACUGCAAUGUUUAAAAAAAAAAAUUUUAAACUUGGGGUAAAAUUUCUAUAUUAUUUGGUUGAUAAUGAAAACUUAAUAUGUAAUUUGUGAAAAGAAUUAGAAGUUACAUCCGGUCAUUGUUAGUUAGAAAUUGUAUAUUUCUUUGGUUAAUAAAAGUUAGAGAUUGUAUAUUUUUUUUUUGUCUUGACACUUAUGAUCAUUUAGUUCUUCGUAAUCAGUCUCCUAAUGAAGCAAUUUUCCCUCUUGUUUUUUUUACUUUCUAAAAUCAACAACAUCACAUUUGCUUUCUUGUUUUGUGUUUCUUACUUGUUUUAACUUUCUUCUUGUGUUUGUUUCUCUUAUUGGCUAAGAGACAAAUCUGCUAGUGGGAAAGCGAAUGAUGGUAAUAAUGCAAAGAUGAUCAAAAGCUCAUAUGGACAAAGUCUACACCGGUACCUCUAAACGGCUAUAUAGAGGAGACCGAUACAGUGGAUUAAACCGACUCCAAUAACCACCUGAUUAUCGUCUUCUUUAGUCUUGUACCAAAAGUUAAUGAACCAGCGCGGUACACUUCUCUGACCAUUGUUGAAUGUCACAAUCUCAACACUUUGAUUCUUUUGCUUGUUUUAACUUUCUUCUUGUGUUUUAUUUCUUUUAUUGGCUAAGAGACAAAUCUGCUAGUGGGAAAGCGAAUGAUGUUAAUAAUGGAAAGAGGAUCAAAACUCAUAUGGACAAAGUCUACCCGGGCACAUUUUUUUUUGGGCAAAGUUGCUUUUAUUGGAUAAGAGACACAAAUCAAAAGCUUAUAUGGACAAGGUUGAGCUAGAGCACUCAAACAUACGUGUUGAUAGUCUGUGUUGGAUGAGCAUCUCUCAUUCCCUCCGCUUCCGAGGAUCAAUCAACCAUCUUUUUCAACAAGAUUUUCUUCCUUUACUUGUCACUACUGCUGCUGAGGUUAAACUUCCUCCUACACAUCCUAUCAGAUUGGCUUUGGCGUUGAACUUCUACUACGAGAUCAUGAACUCACUCACAAGAAAGGGUUUUAGAGAUUGUUUAGUAACUAAGUACCUUAGAAGACUCAUACGUUAUUUGAGAUUGUUUUUACUUCUUAAAUUAAGGGCAUGCCCACCUUGGUGAGUAAAUUGUGAAAUGUAGAGUUUCCACUGUUUCAUGUAUCAUUAUUGUGUAUGUUGUAAUCUGGUUUGACCGUUUUGAGUGUGUUUGCAUCAUCCUGAUGCAUGUCUCAGACACUGUCUUCUUGUUUGUAAUUCGAAACUCGUUACUGUCUUUUCCACCC